rnacentral:rRNA from 2 species
GACGGAGGGUGCUAGCGUUGUUCGGAAUGACUGGGCGUAAAGGGCGCGUAGGCGGCUCGUGAAGUCGGGUGUGAAAGCCCGGGGCUCAACCCCGGAACGGCAUCCGAUACUGGCGGGCUUGAGACCGGGAGAGGAGGGUGGAAUACCCAGUGUAGAGGUGAAAUUCGUAGAUAUUGGGUGGAACACCGGUGGCGAAAGCGGCUCUCUGGCCCGGAUCUGACGCUGAGGCGCGAAAGCGUGGGGAGCAAACAGG